rnacentral:rRNA from 1 species
GACGAACGCUGGCGGCGUGCUUAACACAUGCAAGUCGAGCGGUAAGGCCCUUUCGGGGGUACACGAGCGGCGAACGGGUGAGUAACACGUGGGUGACCUGCCCUCAGCUCUGGGAUAAGCCUGGGAAACUGGGUCUAAUACCGGAUAUGACCUCAUGACUCAUGUUGUGGGGUGGAAAGCCUUGUGCGGCUAGGGAUGGGCCCGCGGUCUAUCAGCUUGUUGGUGGGGUAAUUGCCACCAAGGCGACGACGGGUAGCCGGCCUGAGAGGGCGACCGGCCACACUGGGACUGAGACACGGCCCAGACUCCUACGGGAGGGCAGCAGUGGGGAAUCUUGCGCAAUGGGCGAAAGCCUGACGCAGCGACGCCGCGUGAGGGAUGACGGCCU